CAUUGAAAGCAAUCUCUACAGAGAAAUCUAGCCAGGAUUCAUGGAAGUAUAUUUAUAUAGCUCGGAUGAUGUCUCUACCAGCUCGGAUGGUACACAUCUCCACGAGGUCGAAUGAUAUGCGUCUCCACGACUUCCUAUUCUUCUGCUGGUGAUGGUACCGUGCUUUGGGUUAACACGUGUACGAACUGCCAGAAAAUAGUAAAGUGAAUAAGUUUCAUGUUAACUGUAAGUGUUAGUGAGGCAGUAACUGUCAUAACUUCAGUAUAUAAGCCUGGCGGCAGCAGCUUCUGGUGCGGACAGUACUGCACUUUAGGUUGGCACGUGUACAAACUUCCAGAAAUUGGUUAGAAGCUUUUUGUAACUGUGUGUUGUGUAACUGCCAUUUGGCAUGUGAUUAUUGCUAAAUUAUACAAUUUCUAUGUCUUUUUUUGCCAAUGGCCAUCAGCUGUAUGGCUGCCUUCUCGCUAUCAUGCUACCAACAACUUUCCUUUUUUUUAUGAAUGCAGGUUAUUUUUAAUUUGACUCAUAAGUUAAAUAAUGAUGUGGUUUAUUUGCUUUAUUAUAUUCAUUUUAAUGGCUAUGAUUAACAUAGGUUGUGCAAUCCAAAGAUAUGGAUACCAGGCCUGGCCGUGUGUAAAAUGAACGCGAGCGUCAUGCCGCUCUCGGAUAGACUCGGCCCAAGAGCGAUUAGGCACGGGGAGCGACGCUCCCACGAGUAUAGCCAGCACUGAUAGAUAACAUAAAUGAGCCAUUUUCUUUUAUGUUUAAUACGCUAUUAUAUGUAUAUCUUAUUAUACUUUUUAUUUAUUUUUUAGACAAUAUAAGCUUUCAUUGUAUUAAAGUGUCUACGUCACGAAUCUCCUGAAAUUUAUAGUUGAAACCUUAAUAACACACAAAUAUACUACUUGCUGGUGCUCGAAAUUCGUGACGUAGACAGUUUAACUGAUGCCAGUAUGAAGGUGGCCCUAAAAUUUUUACCUGGUUUUAUUAUUGCUAUGUUUGAGGUGGAUGUAUAUAAUACACACAAUCGAUAUAUAAUAUAAUAUAUAAAUGUAACAGGAAUGCUAUGUAAAUAAAUUGUUUGUGUAUUAUUAAAAUAUGGUACUUGA